GGUCAACCGGGACCCCAAGUUCACCAACUUCGUCGAGCUCGAGAUUAUAAAACCUACAAUUCACAACUCCAAGCUGGAACAAACAGGACCUUAGGAUGGAGAUGUAGUUCCGUACACACAAAGUCAUCUACAGGAGAUAUGCAGGUCUUUUUUUCUCAAUCUGCGUGGAUAUCACUGGCAAUGAGUUGGCAUAUUUGGAAUGUAUCCAUUUGUUUGUCGAGAUAUUGGACCAUUUCUUCAGCAAUGUUUGUGAACUUGAUUUAGUAUUUAACUUCCACAAGGUAACUGCUGUCUCACUAGGCUAAUCUAGCAAUCUGCAAUAUUUUUGAAGUAUUGAUCAUAUCACAUCUUAUAUUUAAAUAAAGAUUAAUUUCUAUUUGAGUGUUCUCAACAAGUUCAUUGUUAACCAAAUUUCCGUGUGUUUUAACUAGUGCUACUGUAUUCUGCUUAAGUUUUUCUUUUUUCAGCAUUACUUGUGUUUACAUUUGGUCUGUUAUGCAGUUUAAAUAACUGUUCGAAAGAGUUUCCUUUGUCAACUGACAGAAAUUUAAUAUGUUAGGGUUAAAUAUUUUCUUAGCCAGUCAAUUUUUUUAUGACCAAAUUCAUGCCUAUGUGCUAGCACUUAUUUGGUGUUGCUUUUGUUUACUUGUCAUCUGUUACUCGCUAAGAUGUUAUAGAACUGAACGUAGAUGAUAGAAGGGGCCAUUGGAAAACUGCAAACGAUAUAAUAUGUUACUCCUGCAUACUCCAUGUAUUUGAACCUAACAAUCUUUAGUUACUUUAUCCCAGUUUCCCAAUACUCUAGUACUAUGUUUAUCACCAUUUUUUAUGUGUCAAUAAAUAGAUAACGCCUUCAGGUUAUCAAAUGAUAAUCUUUAAACGUGUGUUUACACCAUGCCUAUUGUAUUCAAUAAACAAUUACCUAUGCAUAGGGAGGUAGCAUUUAUGGAAAUUUCCAGUAUUUACACUGCCUAGUGUACUCCUAUUCAGUAAACGAUUACCUAUGCAUUGGGAGGUUGCAUAUAUGGAAAUCUCCAAAGUUGUGCUCAAUAUUGUCAAAACUCAAAAUUGUAUUUGCAUUAGACAUUAAAAAAGAAAUCUUCAAAUCUUAGAA